UACGUAGGUGGCAAGCGUUGUCCGGAUUUACUGGGCGUAAAGAGCGCGCAGGCGGUCGGUCAAGUCGCGUGUGAAAGCCCCCGGCUCAACUGGGGAGGGUCACGCGAUACUGCUCGACUCGAAGGCAGGAGAGGGUAGUGGAAUUCCCGGUGUAGUGGUGAAAUGCGUAGAUAUCGGGAGGAACACCAGUGGCGAAGGCGACUACCUGGGCUGUUUAUUGACGCUGAGGCGCGAAAGCUAGGGGAGCAAACGGG
rnacentral:rRNA from 1 species